UACGUAGGGUGCAAGCGUUGUCCGGAAUUAUUGGGCGUAAAGAGCUCGUAGGCGGUCUGUCGCGUCGGCUGUGAAAACUCGGGGCUCAACCCCGAGCCUGCAGUCGAUACGGGCAGGCUAGAGUUCGGUAGGGGAGACUGGAAUUCCUGGUGUAGCGGUGAAAUGCGCAGAUAUCAGGAGGAACACCGGUGGCGAAGGCGGGUCUCUGGGCCGAUACUGACGCUGAGGAGCGAAAGCGUGGGGAGCGAACAGG
rnacentral:rRNA from 1 species